UGACCGGCAUGGUGAAGUGCUUGCGCUGCAAAACGAUCUUGCAAGCUAACCGUAUCAGUGACCGUCGAGAUGAGGGUAAAGUUAAAAUUGUCAAACAUGUCCAAUGAUGUGGAUUUUUUGAAAGCUUAAAAAGGUUUCCUCACCAGCUAUGUGCAGUAGAUAUACAUGUACCCUAUACAAAAUAUAGUUCCUUCAUCGGAGAAGUUUGUAAUUUUGUUUACAAGAUUUGCCAAAUCUGGAGACUUGCCAGGUAUGAGGCUGGUAGUACAAGAGGAGAUAAAGUGGAUUAACACAACUAUUGAUUGAAGAGAAGAAAAAAACUCAAGGUCUGGCCCGAGGACUAUAAAAGUGUUCAUUAUUUAUUAAUAAGACAACUUAUCAGGCGUUACUAUUUAUUCUGGUGUGGGAAAGAUGAUGCCUGAUGAGGAUGUUAAGAUGAAUUAUGAUAUGAUGUAUUAUAUUCUAAUGGUACCAAGUACAGCUAUUGUUUUAGGCAUUUGUUUAUUUUUUCGAUGGCUUGGACUGAAAUUUUUUGAACACAAUUAAAUCAAUUAUGUGACAUUAAUAGGACUAAAAAGCAGACUUGUGUGUAUCUGUGGAGUUGGAUUAUGUGAAUGCAUAAAUUAAAUCUAGAUAUACAAACAAUGUAACAUAUCUUUUUCAUUAUGUACAUAUACAUUCCUCAUUGUGUUUUAACAUUAAAUUUUUAUAUAACUAUAA